GCAUAUCAAUAAGCGGAGGAAAAGAAACCAACAGGGAUUGCUCUAGUAACGGCGAGUGAAGCAGCAAUAGCUCAAAUUUGAAAUCUGGCGUCUUCGACGUCCGAGUUGUAAUUUGUAGGGGAUGCUUCUGAGUGGCCACCGACCUAAGUUCCUUGGAACAGGACGUCAUAGAGGGUGAGAAUCCCGUAUGCGGUCGGAAAGGCGCUCUAUACGUAGCUCCUUCGACGAGUCGAGUUGUUUGGGAAUGCAGCUCUAAAUGGGAGGUAAAUUUCUUCUAAAGCUAAAUAUUGGCCAGAGACCGAUAGCGCACAAGUAGAGUGAUCGAAAGAUGAAAAGCACUUUGGAAAGAGAGUUAAAAAGCACGUGAAAUUGUUAAAAGGGAAGGGAUUGCAACCAGACUUGCUCGCGGUGUUCCGCCGGUCUUCUGACCGGUCUACUCGCCGCGUUGCAGGCCAGCAUCGUCUGGUGCCGCUGGAUAAGACUUGAGGAAUGUAGCUCCCUCGGGAGUGUUAUAGCCUCUUGUGAUGCAGCGAGCGCCGGGCGAGGUCCGCGCUUCGGCUAGGAUGCUGGCGUAAUGGUCGUAAUCCGCCCGUCUUGAAACACGGACC
rnacentral:rRNA from 1 species